rnacentral:rRNA from 1 species
CACGUAGGGAGCGAGCGUUGUCCGGAAUUACUGGGCGUAAAGGGAGCGUAGGCGGGAGUGCAAGUCAGAUGUGAAAUGCAUGGGCUUAACCCAUGAGCUGCAUUUGAAACUGCAUUUCUUGAGUGAAGUAGAGGUAGACGGAAUUCCUGGUGUAGCGGUGAAAUGCGUAGAUAUCAGGAGGAACACCGGUGGCGAAGGCGGCUUACUGGGCUUUUACUGACGCUGAGGCUCGAAAGCGUGGGGAGCAAAC